rnacentral:rRNA from 1 species
UACGUAGGGUGCAAGCGUUUGUCCGGAAUUAUUGGGCGUAAAGAGCUCGUAGGCGGUCUGUCGCGUCGGCUGUGAAAUCCCGAGGCUCAACCUCGGGCCUGCAGUGGGUACGGGCAGACUAGAGUGCGGUAGGGGAGAUUGGAAUUCCUGGUGUAGCGGUGGAAUGCGCAGAUAUCAGGAGGAACACCAAUGGCGAAGGCAGAUCUCUGGGCCGUAACUGACGCUGAGGAGCGAAAGCAUGGGGAGCGAACAGG